rnacentral:tRNA from 1 species
GCUCCUGUAGCCCAAUUGGCAUGAGGCGGCCGUCUUAAACACGGUUUAUGUGUGGGUUCGACUCCCACCAGGAGUA